rnacentral:rRNA from 1 species
CCUACGGGCGGCUGCAGUGAGGAAUAUUGGUCAAUGGACGAAAGUCUGAACCAGCCAAGUAGCGUGAAGGAUGACUGCCCUAUGGGUUGUAAACUUCUUUUAUAUGGGAAUAAAACAGGGUAUGCAUACCCUCUUGUAUGUACCAUAUGAAUAAGGAUCGGCUAACUCCGUGCCAGCAGCCGCGGUAAUACGGAGGAUCCGAGCGUUAUCCGGAUUUAUUGGGGUUAAAGGGCGCGUAGGUGGAUUGUUAAGUCAGUUGUGAAAGUUUGCGGCUUAACCGUAAAAUUGCAUUUGAAACUGGUAGUCUUGAGUACAGUAGAGGUGGGCGGAAUUCGUGGUGUAGCGGUGAAAUGCUUAGAUAUCACGAAGAACUCCGAUUGCUAAGGCAGCUUACUGGACUGCAACUGACACUGAUGCUCGAAAGCGUGGGUAUCAAACAGGAUUAGAUACCCGGGUAGUC